rnacentral:rRNA from 1 species
GGAUCCAGACUUUGAUUCUGGCUCAGGAUGAACGCUAGCUACAGGCUUAACACAUGCAAGUCGAGGGGAAACGACAUCGAAAGCUUGCUUUUGAUGGGCGUCGACCGGCGCACGGGUGAGUAACGCGUAUCCAACCUGCCCACCACUUGGGGAUAACCUUGCGAAAGUAAGACUAAUACCCAAUGAUAUCUCUAGAAGACAUCUGAAAGAGAUUAAAGAUUUAUCGGUGAUGGAUGGGGAUGCGUCUGAUUAGCUUGUUGGCGGGGUAACGGCCCACCAAGGCAACGAUCAGUAGGGGUUCUGAGAGGAAGGUCCCCCACAUUGGAACUGAGACACGGUCCAAACUCCUACGGGAGGCAGCAGUGAGGAAUAUUGGUCAAUGGACGAGAGUCUGAACCAGCCAAGUAGCGUGCAGGAUGACGGCCCUAUGGGUUGUAAACUGCUUUUAUAAGGGAAUAAAGUGAGUCUCGUGAGACUUUUUGCAUGUACCUUAUGAAU